rnacentral:rRNA from 1 species
GAUGAACGCUGGCGGUGUGCCUAAUACAUGCAAGUCGAGCGCCCUUCACAAUGCGCUUCUCUCCGUCUGAGACGGGACGCGGGAAUUUUUUCCUUGGAAAAAUGAGCCGCUUCCUUCACAGAUGGAUGAACAAAAAUAUUGUUAAUCACAACUUCGUUAAGUUGAGUGGUUUUCAAUGUGAGGAGAGUACUGUGAAGGGAGCGGCGGACGGCUGAGUAACGCGUGGGAACGUGCCCUAAAGUGAGGGGAUAAGCCCGAGAAAUCGGGUCUAAUACCGCAUAUGGUCUUCGGAUUAAAGCUUUUAGCGCUUUGGGAGCGGCCUGCGUACGAUUAGAUAGUUGGUGAGGUAAUGGCUCACCAAGUCGACGAUCGUUAGCUGGUCUGAGAGGAUGAUCAGCCAGACUGGGACUGAGACACGGCCCAGACUCCUACGGAGGGCAGCAGUAAGGAAUCUUCCACAAUGGGGGCAACCCUGAUGGAGCAACACCG